rnacentral:rRNA from 1 species
UGGGGAAUUGUUCGCAAUGGGCGCAAGCCUGACGACGCAACGCCGCGUGGAGGAUGAAGGUCUUCGGAUUGUAAACUCCUGUUGAUCGGGACGAAAAGCUUCAACCUAAUACGUUGAAGACUGACGGUACCGGUUGAGGAAGCCACGGCUAACUCUGUGCCAGCAGCCGCGGUAAUACAGAGGUGGCAAGCGUUGUUCGGAUUUACUGGGCGUAAAGCGCGUGUAGGCGGGCCGUUAAGUUGGGGGUGAAAUCCCGAGGCUCAACCUCGGAACUGCCUUCAAAACUGGCGACCUGGACUCAAGCAGAGGCAAGUGGAAUUGCGAGUGUAGAGGUGAAAUUCGUAGAUAUUCGCAGGAACACCAGUGGCGAAGGCGACUUGCUGGGCUUGUAGUGACGCUGAGACGCGAAAGCGUGGGGAGCAAACAGGAUUAGAUACCCAUGUAGUCCCUGAGCGGGCUGGCAAGGCGCAU